UGAACGCUAGCUACAGGCUUAACACAUGCAAGUCGAGGGGCAGCAUGGUCUUAGCUUGCUAAGGCCGAUGGCGACCGGCGCACGGGUGAGUAACACGUAUCCGACCUGCCGUCUACUCUUGGACAGCCUUCUGAAAGGAAGAUUAAUACAAGAUGGCAUCAUGAGUCCACAUGUUCACAUGAUUAAAGGUAUUCCGGUAGACGAUGGGGAUGCGUUCCAUUAGAUAGUAGGCGGGGUAGCGGCCCACCUAGUCUUCGAUGGAUAGGGGUUCUGAGAGGAAGGUCCCCCACAUUGGAACUGAGACACGGUCCAAACUCCUACGGGAGGCAGCAGUGAGGAAUAUUGGUCAAUGGGCGAGAGCCUGAACCAGCCAAGUAGCGUGAAGGAUGACUGCCCUAUGGGUUGUAAACUUCUUUUAUAAAGGAAUAAAGUCGGGUAUGCAUACCCGUUUGCAUGUACUUUAUGAAUAAGGAUCGGCUAACUCCGUGCCAGCAGCCGCGGUAAUACGGAGGAUCCGAGCGUUAUCCGGAUUUAUUGGGUUUAAAGGGAGCGUAGAUGGAUGUUUAAGUCAGUUGUGAAAGUUUGCGGCUCAACCGUAAAAUUGCAGUUGAUACUGGAUAUCUUGAGUGCAGUUGAGGCAGGCGGAAUUCGUGGUGUAGCGGUGAAAUGCUUAGAUAUCACGAAGAACUCCGAUUGCGAAGGCAGCCUGCUAAGCUGCAACUGACAUUGAGGCUCGAAAGUGUGGGUAUCAAACAGGAUUAGAUACCCUGGUAGUCCACACGGUAAACGAUGAAUACUCGCUGUUUGCGAUAUACUGCAAGCGGCCAAGCGAAAGCGUUAAGUAUUCCACCUGGGGAGUACGCCGGCAACGGUGAAACUCAAAGGAAUUGACGGGGGCCCGCACAAGCGGAGGAACAUGUGGUUUAAUUCGAUGAUACGCGAGGAACCUUACCCGGGCUUAAAUUGCAGAUGAAUUACGGUGAAAGCCGUAAGCCGCAAGGCAUCUGUGAAGGUGCUGCAUGGUUGUCGUCAGCUCGUGCCGUGAGGUGUCGGCUUAAGUGCCAUAACGAGCGCAACCCUUGUUGUCAGUUACUAACAGGUUCUGCUGAGGACUCUGACAAGACUGCCAUCGUAAGAUGUGAGGAAGGUGGGGAUGACGUCAAAUCAGCACGGCCCUUACGUCCGGGGCUACACACGUGUUACAAUGGGGGGUACAGAGGGCCGCUACCACGCGAGUGGAUGCCAAUCCCAAAAACCUCUCUCAGUUCGGACUGGAGUCCGCAACCCGACUCCACGAAGCUGGAUUCGCUAGUAAUCGCGCAUCAGCCACGGCGCGGUGAAUACGUUCCCGGGCCUUGUACACACCGCCCGUCAAGCCAUGGGAGCCGGGGGUACCUGAAGUGCGUAACCGCGAGGAGCGCCCUAGGGUAAAACUAGUGACUGGGGCU
rnacentral:rRNA from 1 species